AUUUUUCCUCAAGAUUUGAUAUCUUCUUUCUUUCUAUUGUUAGUAAUCCAUCCGUAUGUGUGUUACUUUUUCAUCAAUUCUAAUAAUUCCUUCGUAAAAUUUGACUACAUCCAGAUCCUGAGAGACUACUAAGAGUGACAACAAUGUAGAAAAUAGAGAGAACCAAGGUAGCUUAUCGAUCUAACCACUGGCAUGUAGCACAGUUUGCAACAGGGGAACUAUUUAUAUUGUUAAAAUCUUUAAAAUGAUGCAGUUGUCUUGCAAAGUUUUGAUCUUUUUACUCCCAAGUUAAUUGAAGAGAGAACGGGGUUUCAUUUCACACGUGUUUGUUCUCUUUUUCUUUUCCUACCUAAACUAUCACCAUCUAUAUAUCAUUUUUAAUAACUCUUUCGCAAGUUUAACAGUUGGUUGUCCUCUUCUUCUUUUCCUACCUGAACAAUCAUCUUCUAUGUAUUGUAAGAGAAACAGUAAUAUUUUUUUAUGUUCAACGCUGGACAUGUCAAUUAAUGUCUAAGACUCAGAGUCCUUAUAGACCAAUAAGAGCGAUAGCAAUGUAGAAAACAGAGAGUAGUUUAUUGAUCUGAUCGCAUAUACAAUACGGAAAAAGUACUCAAUAUUAUCGUCAACCAAAAUAACCACUUACUAAGAGCAAAACCUCGUGAACUCCAGACCAAACUUCUUUUCAUUACUACACGUACAGGGGGGCAUUUUUGGAAGGGGAAAAAUAAAAAAAAAUGUUUCCUUUAUUCUAGUUUAUAUGCAAUUUCGAGAGUUAAUAUGCUUUUCAAAUAUUUUCUUUAUUUCCAUUUCAUUUUUAUAUUCUUUCAUCUGUUCAGAGGUAAAAACAUCAGUCUUUUGGUUGAUCUAAUGACGAAAUAACUCAAAAUUAUAAGCAGAAAUAAGUUAAAUCUUUCAUUGAGUCAGAAAUAUUUUCAAAUUUAAACUCAAAUGUGAAAAACCCCUUGCAGCUAGGAUGGUUUCAAUAACAAAUUUUCCCCAAGUCAAAAUAACAUUAGGGUUAAACCGAAGGUAACAAUUUAAAGUAACAAAUACAACAUUGAACAGACGGCGGAAAGAUGCAUUAGAAGAAGAAAACUCAUCAAAUCAGAAACAGAAGCAAGCAUACCUUUUUGUUCGUUCGUAAAAGAGAACCUCUGAGGAGUUGAUUUGAAUCAGCACAUAGUGAAUGUGUUGUUUUCCAUGGAAAUAAAGGAGCUUUCAA
rnacentral:lncRNA from 1 species